CUUGCAGACACCAGCCUCUAUCAUAAGAGAACGCUCUCUCUCCACAUUCACCUAUGCAGCAGGCAACAAGUUUCUCUUGAUGAAACCAGACAUUCCAGCUCUCUUUUCCUGCCUCCAAGACUCCAAGCUCACCUUGAGAGUUUCCUCGGAAUUGACUGCUACACCCACUUCAAUAGCUAUUUCAGGAACACAGUCUUGGAAAAUUUAUUGACGCUCUGGCAAAAGAAGGAUCAUUCUCCAAAUCAGUCAUUCAGUCUUCAGAAGGUAAGGAAUCCUGAUUUCGUGAAAUAAAGACGGCACCACAGGUCUGAAAGGAAUCCAAGUCUGAACAAGAGGAAGAGACGGAGGACAAUGUUUGUAGGUUAGGAUUUGGAAAAGACAUGGGAUGGAAAUUUUGUAAUUGAAAGAUCUUCAUUUGUGGGGUGGAGGUGAGGCAGGCAGCGUUCCGUUUCAUUUUGAAUUCUUGGAGCGGUCUAAAAUGUCUCCCCCUUAGCUUGGCUUUUUCCAGGGUUCUACUUGGGGGCUCACACACAGUCUCAGGAGCACUGAUAAUGGCAGAAGGGGAAAAUUAGCAGCCCUACACCUCUGAAAUUACUGGUGGAAAUUCUCCUUUGCUUCAGUUAUGUCUAGCAUCCCUUUAAUUCAAGAACAAUUUUGGACUUUGGUAGAAUCUUUAGAAAUUAUUUUAUUCCUAGCCUAGGAUUGUUUCUGCUUCUGAAGAUCGUGGACUUCCUAGGUUCUAUGGGUGACAAAUAACUGCAUCAAGACAUAAUAGAAAGAAAUCUGUUUAAAAAAAUGCAAAGCCUAAGUGACCUGAAAAUUUUAAAGUAUCAAGAUGGAAGUGCUCCUAAGGCUAUGUAAUUCCACCCAGGAAUAAAUUUCUAACUGUGCAGAAGAUGAAAAACCCCAUUAAAGAAGAAGUUCUCAAGUACCUGAUAAGGGAGACGAGAGCAUUUACAGCUGGUUGGUUAGCCCACAUCCACCAUGAACUAACCUUUUCCCUUCCAUAGAAGCUGGAGGACGUAAACUGACUUAUCCAGUCUCCCUUCCAGCUACAGAUGGUCAUGUCACAUCCUUCUGGCCAAAGAGACUAAAGCAGAAGUCUGCUGGGGGACAUAUGGGAAACUCUUGCUUCCCUAGAAAAGGGGACACACAUACUUGGGAAUGCAACUUUACGACUUGAACGUGAGCUUGAUGCCUGGAGUACUGUGAAAAUGAAGAUAAGGUCAAGAGAACUUCAGAAAUGUCAGCUCUGAUACCUUUGAGCUGCUGAACCAACACAAGC
rnacentral:lncRNA from 1 species